rnacentral:rRNA from 1 species
UGCGUAGGCGGCUUGGUAAGUCAGAUGUGAAAUCCUGGGGCUCAACCUCGGAACUGCAUUUGAUACUGCCAGGCUAGAGUACUGGAGGGGAGACUGGAAUUUACGGUGUAGCAGUGAAAUGCGUAGAUAUCGUAAGGAAGGCCAGUGGCGAAGGCGAGUCUCUGGACAGUAACUGACGCUGAGGCACGAAGGCUAGGGGAGCAAACG